UACGGAGGGUGCAAGCGUUAUCCGGAUUCACUGGGUUUAAAGGGUGCGUAGGAGGGCAGGUAAGUCAGUGGUGAAAUCUCCAAGCUUAACUUGGAAACUGCCGUUGAUACUAUCUGUCUUGAAUAUUGUGGAGGUGAGCGGAAUAUGUCAUGUAGCGGUGAAAUGCUUAGAUAUGACAUAGAACACCAAUUGCGAAGGCAGCUCGCUACUCAAUUAUUGACUCUGAGGAGCGAAAGCGUGGGGAGCGAACAGG
rnacentral:rRNA from 1 species